AAUUGCUUAAGGCUGCUUGUAUAGGGGGAUAGGUAUACAUGAAUACUAGAAGUUUCUCGCUAACAAAGGGGGGUGGGAUGCGGGUUGUUUUAACUGAAUCAUUUCUGACGCAAUGGAACUGUCUAUAUAACCCUACUAGAUGUUAGAACGGUGGCUGGUUCUCUCUGGAGACGGGCCGCUCUCUAUUGUUGUGUGCACUCCUCAAUAAAGAGCUUGUCACUGGACCUUGCUGGUGUUGCCUGUCUCUCUGCGGUCAGACAACAAACCGUGCCGUCUGGGUUCUGAGUCCCCGACAAAUUUGGCAACCAUGAAGGAACUCGUCUGACUCUCCGGCGCGGGAUCAGAUUCUGAAGCAACGUAGCGCGCAUCCUCCGGUUUCGAGGAGCCUUGCCCAGUGACCUGAUCCCUGCGUCGGCGAUAAGGCGUAUUCUGCGAACCAGCUGAAGCCUGUAAAAAUCCAGCAACGUCCACCUACCCGUUGAGUAGGAUCCGGGUCUUUGAGGUUCGAGUCCCUGGAGAAGGUGAUCCCGUGUGGGUAAAAGCAUACAAGACUCCGCUUCAACCGCAGUGGCUAGGACCCUUUGAAAUGCUUCUGGUGAGCCCUACUGCCAUCCGAGUAAAGGAGCUACCCACCUGGUCAAAAGGAGCACCGCUAGGGAACCUGACCGGGUAAAGGGUUCCCCAGAAGUAGACGACGUCGGACUUGGAGGUUGCCACGCACGUUCAUCCCACCGUGAACUGGCUGAACCAGAAGCAGACGACAUCUGGGCCCGAGACCAGUGGACUGCUACCCCUUUGGGCGACCUGAAACUUCGACUGCAGCUGAAAAAGCCUUAAAUUGGUGGCGCUCUUUCUCGGAAGGAUGGCCCCGUUUUCUGGCCUGGGGUCUUACGUUUUUAAUCUGUUUAUUAUUUGUUACCUUUCUCUUCUGGUGGUACGAAGCAUGUGGCUAUAGAAUCUCACAGUCCUAACACCUUUAUACGCCUUGCCCAUGAGAUGAAAGCUCGCAUGCCAGCCUUACAUAAUACUCCAUGCUGGGUAUGUUCUCUGAUGCCAGCGGAUAGCCAAAAAGGUCUCCCUAUGGUCCCUACUUCCCUCAGUGCAAGGAACAUGACCUGGACUCCCUCCUGGAAGGACUCUUCAGGCACUCUAAACAUAACCUGGAGUGAUACUGGAAUUAAGAAUAAAGGGUUCUUAAAUGUUUGGAGGAGACCGGGACAUUGGUGCCUCUUAAAAGGACCACAUGCUAAUUCUAGCAUUUUUGUUGGGAUUAGCCAGUGCACCUGGUAUUAUAACACCCCCCAUAGUGGACUAGCUUCUACACACACUAAGGAAGGAUUUCAAAUGAUAAAUGGUCCGGAUGUCUCUUUAAUUCCUAGAUGGAUGAAGGUAAAUACCACGGCAUGUUCACCUUCUUCCUCACACCUUUCCUAUAACAGCUUUUCUUUACACUGUACCUGAUGUUCCCCCGGACCCCAUAAUAGGUCCCUUUGCAUAUGCUCUUAUCGAAAUGGCCCAACCCUACCAAUCGGUCCAGACUGAUGGAAUCGGUGGGACCGACCCCUCUUCGGGGUGUGUGGCAACAAAGCAUCCCUAGUCCUCCCUCCCUCAUGGAGUGGAUCCUGCUAUCUGGCCUGGUUAGAGCCACCUGUCGUUUAUCGCGCCCACCUCCCAAGAGGGAAAAUCAGAAAUGUGAGGGCUGCUGAGGAAAACGUUAAGGAAUCUCGCCCCCUACCUGGCGGGCUCUAAAUGAUCGGACAGGCGUUUGUGCAGGAUUUGGUUUUGCUUGUGGCGGAGCCACCUGGCGAAUUGGAGAAGGAGUAAUACAACUUCAGGGGGGUUUGGAGAUAAUGGCAUAUACUACCGCCGAUGCCCUGGUGGACUUGGCACCGAACAGAGAAAACUAAGGCAGAUGGUUCUCCAGAACCGCUUGGCUCUAGAUAUCUUACUGGCCUCUCAGGGAGGAACAUGUGCACUAAUUGGGCAAGAGUGCUGCGUAUAUGUUCCUGAUGUUUAUAACGCCACCUGGGACAGAGCAAACCACCUCAUACAAGUAGCAAAGGACCAUGGAGAGGAGCAGGUUAAUUCUUGGUGGAGCAACCUGUUUAAUUGGGUUCCAGACAUAGGUGGCUGGCUUCAUAAUUUGCUUCGCAGCGCUGUUGUAAUUAUUUGUGGCCUAAUAGCUUUGUAUGUUAUUCUCCAAUAUGGGUGUUGGAUAGGCACCAAGUUGUGCUCCACCCAGCAGUAAUUAGUUCAAAACUCAGUAAGAGUUGCAGCCAGUAUGUCCCAAGAGUCCUUUUAAGGUACUCUAGGGACAAAGGGGGGGUUGUUAGGCCCCAAAAGAAAAUUGUAGAGCAGUUAUGCCAACCUAACCAGAAUUAGGCCAACAGAGGUUUCUGGGUAGUCCCCAGGCAGAAUCGAAGACAUAGUUGUUUAAGCUGAAAAAAUGAGAUAAGAGGGAAGCUGCAUUCCUGUACCAGAUGUGCUACGAACAGUGUGCUCAGAAGAUAGAUUAGGAGACAUACUGUCUCCACUCCCUGUUUCUGUUCUUUGUAUGUUCUUGAUUCCCCCCGUCUCCUAGUUCUGGUGCUUGUUAACCGUGCUAAUAAGAAAGUUGCUGAGACAUGAAUUGCUUAAGGCUGCUUGUAUAGGGGGAUAGGUAUACAUGAAUACUAAAAGUUUCUCGCUAACAAAGGGGGGUGGGAUGCGGGUUGUUUUAACUGAAUAAUUUAUGACGCGAUGGAACUGUCUGUCUAACCCUACUAGAUGUUAGAACGGUGGCUGGUUCUCUCUGGAGACGGGCCGCUCUCUAUUGUUGUGUGCACUCCUCAAUAAAGAGCUUGUCACUGGA